CUCUUCAUUUCUUCUUCUUCUUCUUCCAUAUUCUCUAUAAUUCUUCAAUUCCACUUUCUGCAUACUUCUUCAAUCAUGUACUUAAGGUAGUCAUGUUUACUUUGUUGCUACUGUCCAAAACAUGAAGGUUUUCUUUCUAAAAGUGUUACCUUUUAACCAUAUUCACUGAGCUUUUGUGGUCGAAAAAUAGUUGGAAAUCUCUACCCAGGACACAUUUCAUGAUUCACAACUUUUUGUAGUUAAAGUUUAUGUUUUUAUAUUAUUAUUUGUUCCAAAGGUCAUUUUUUCUUCUUCUGGAGGUCAUUUUUUGCUAACUUUAAUCAUUUACUUGCUUUGUUAAUUUUUUGUUAAUAUUGUUUGUUGCAUAUCUUCUUAUUCUUCUUCUUCCAAAAUGAUCCAGUUUCACAAUUUUAUGUUAAAAAAUAUGUCUCUUACUUUUUGUGGAUUUUCAUCCAAAAUAUUUUUAAAAAUGGUAUAUUUAAUAUUUAUUUGUUACUUUUUGUGGUUGUUCUUUCAAUUUUUUUGGUUGAAAAUGAG
rnacentral:lncRNA from 1 species